rnacentral:lncRNA from 1 species
CAGGUUCAGGGAUGCUGUAGUUUCUGAGCUGAGCUGCUUCAUUCAUUCAGACUGAGGGACAGACCUGCGCUCUGCGGAUCACUCAGCCCGGGCUCUGGAACUCUGGAUGGGCGCGCGGGGCUGAGCGGGGCUGCUGGAGCUCCUCUGCUGCCCGGACCUCGUUUUCCUCGCGCUGCGGCUGCAGAGUAUGAGCGAGCGGAGAGCGGAGCGGCGCGCAUGGCGGGCGGAGUGAGGAGGGCGCGCGGGGAGCCAGGCAGGUUCAGCCGCCGCCGCCGAUGCUGCUGCUGCUGCUGGAGCCCCGGAGCCGCACUGCUGCUGCUGAUGAUACUGCUGCUGAUGCGGCUACACAGCUGCACAGGGUCCAGCACGGAUGACUCAAGCUAUGAGGCGUCUGGAUCAUCAGUGUCUUCUCUGGACCAGGCCACCCUGGCCACCUCUCCUCAUCGUCCAACUGGCUUACUCAUGACCGAUGAGGAUCCCAUGUCAGUCAUGCAGUCGGAUCCUACCAGUCUGUCAAAGGGAAUCCGACAGGAACCAGCAUUCUCCUCCAUACUGACUCUACUGGCCGACUCAGCUGAAAAACCUCAGACUCCUCUUCAUUCAGGCUCUACUCUGGAAAGCUCAGUCAGGAUUGAUAAUGAAACCAGCCAAUCACCUUCAGAUGGUCCCUUUCAGAGAGCAGAGGCAUCCUUUAAGGCACCCUCUUCCUCUGCGGUGGUGCCCGGUGGCAACCAGUCCUCUGCCUCAGAGGACUCAGCGCUGGAGGACUGGGUUUCAGAGCUGAUGUCCUCUGUGGUUCAGACGUCCAGAGAGACCAGCCUCCGCUCGAAGAGAAAUGAAACUGGUUUGACUCGACAACGAAAGAAAAUCUCUACGUUUUCCAACAAAAACACACUGACACAAACAGAACCCACCACCCAGGAGACCACAGCCACCAGUGCCCCCCAGUUCACCACCGUCACCACCACCACUGUGGCCACCACCACUUCCACAACCACCACUCCCUCUCCAGUGACCACAACCACCCAACCCACCAGCACAACCCAGUUAACCAGCACCAGACCCACUACCACAACCACCACCACCACCACCACCACCUCUACUACUACAACUACAACCACUACUACAGCUAAACCUCCCAGAAUGAUAGCACCUGCCCGUCCCCCUACACGGACCACCACCACCACUACCACCACCACCCAGUCUCCCAGGACCAGUCCUACCAGAGCCACCACCACUACUACCACCACAACUCAGACUCCUCCAAUCAUCUGCAACAUCACUGAGAGAAUGUUGGUCAGAACAGGUAAGAUAGUAUCACACUCUCUCACAAAAUGUAUUUAUUUAUUUUUUUUCCU